GAAAACGGUGCCUUGUUAACUCACAUGACGUAAUAAUCGUCUCACGAAUUCACUUAGACCUAUAUUCCUCUUUGAUUCUGCUCUGUUUAGGUGCUCCUGCUCAACCUUUGCCACCAGCACAUACAACAAAAAGACAGCCGAAUACCCAAGAGGUUCCUCCCGCGCUGCCACCAGCACGACCUCCAAAGACGUCCCAUAGUUCAAAUUCAUCUAUAGAGUCCGUACAUACGGGAGUUCCUGGUAGACCACCAAAAGGCCAGUUACACUCAGCCCAUUCUGUCGAGGAUAG
rnacentral:lncRNA from 1 species